rnacentral:rRNA from 1 species
AUUGAACGCUGGCGGCAGGCCUAACACAUGCAAGUCGAGCGGAGGAAGGGAGCUUGCUCCUGGAUUCAGCGGCGGACGGGUGAGUAAUGCCUAGGAAUCUGCCUGGUAGUGGGGGAGAACGUCCGGAAACGGGCGCUAAUACCGCAUACGUCCUGAGGGAGAAAGUGGGGGAUCUUCGGACCUCACGCUAUCAGAGGAGCCUAGGUCGGAUUAGCUAGUUGGUGGGGUAAAGGCCGACCAAGGCGACGAUCCGUAACUGGUCUGAGAGGAUGAGCAGUCACCCUGGAACUUAGACACGCUCCAUACUCCUACGGCAGGCAGCAGUGGGGAAUAUUGGACAAUGGGCGAAAGCCUGGUCCAGCCAUGCCGCGUGUGUGGAGAAGGUCUUCGGAUUGUAAAGCCCUUUAAGUUGGGAGGAAGGGCAGUAAGUUAAUACCUUGCUGUUUUGACGUUACCAACAGAAUAAGCACCGGCUAACUUCGUG